AAAUUGAAGAGUUUGAUCAUGGCUCAGAUUGAACGCUGGCGGCAGGCCUAACACAUGCAAGUCGAACGGUAACAGGAAGCAGCUUGCUGCUUUGCUGACGAGUGGCGGACGGGUGAGUAAUGUCUGGGAAACUGCCUGAUGGAGGGGGAUAACUACUGGAAACGGUAGCUAAUACCGCAUAAUGUCGCAAGACCAAAGAGGGGGACCUUCGGGCCUCUUGCCAUCGGAUGUGCCCAGAUGGGAUUAGCUAGUAGGUGGGGUAACGGCUCACCUAGGCGACGAUCCCUAGCUGGUCUGAGAGGAUGACCAGCCACACUGGAACUGAGACACGGUCCAGACUCCUACGGGAGGCAGCAGUGGGGAAUAUUGCACAAUGGGCGCAAGCCUGAUGCAGCCAUGCCGCGUGUAUGAAGAAGGCCUUCGGGUUGUAAAGUACUUUCAGCGGGGAGGAAGGCGAUAAGGUUAAUAACCUUGUCGAUUGACGUUACCCGCAGAAGAAGCACCGGCUAACUCCGUGCCAGCAGCCGCGGUAAUACGGAGGGUGCAAGCGUUAAUCGGAAUUACUGGGCGUAAAGCGCACGCAGGCGGUCUGUCAAGUCGGAUGUGAAAUCCCCGGGCUCAACCUGGGAACUGCAUUCGAAACUGGCAGGCUAGAGUCUUGUAGAGGGGGGUAGAAUUCCAGGUGUAGCGGUGAAAUGCGUAGAGAUCUGGAGGAAUACCGGUGGCGAAGGCGGCCCCCUGGACAAAGACUGACGCUCAGGUGCGAAAGCGUGGGGAGCAAACAGGAUUAGAUACCCUGGUAGUCCACGCCGUAAACGAUGUCGACUUGGAGGUUGUGCCCUUGAGGCGUGGCUUCCGGAGCUAACGCGUUAAGUCGACCGCCUGGGGAGUACGGCCGCAAGGUUAAAACUCAAAUGAAUUGACGGGGGCCCGCACAAGCGGUGGAGCAUGUGGUUUAAUUCGAUGCAACGCGAAGAACCUUACCUACUCUUGACAUCCAGAGAACUUAGCAGAGAUGCUUUGGUGCCUUCGGGAACUCUGAGACAGGUGCUGCAUGGCUGUCGUCAGCUCGUGUUGUGAAAUGUUGGGUUAAGUCCCGCAACGAGCGCAACCCUUAUCCUUUGUUGCCAGCGGUUAGGCCGGGAACUCAAAGGAGACUGCCAGUGAUAAACUGGAGGAAGGUGGGGAUGACGUCAAGUCAUCAUGGCCCUUACGAGUAGGGCUACACACGUGCUACAAUGGCGCAUACAAAGAGAAGCGACCUCGCGAGAGCAAGCGGACCUCAUAAAGUGCGUCGUAGUCCGGAUUGGAGUCUGCAACUCGACUCCAUGAAGUCGGAAUCGCUAGUAAUCGUGGAUCAGAAUGCCACGGUGAAUACGUUCCCGGGCCUUGUACACACCGCCCGUCACACCAUGGGAGUGGGUUGCAAAAGAAGUAGGUAGCUUAACCUUCGGGAGGGCGCUUACCACUUUGUGAUUCAUGACUGGGGUGAAGUCGUAACAAGGUAACCGUAGGGGAACCUGCGGUUGGAUCACCUCCUUACCUUAAAGAA
rnacentral:rRNA from 1 species